AGAGUUUGAUCAUGGCUCAGAUUGAACGCUGGCGGCAUGCCUUACACAUGCAAGUCGAACGGCAGCACGGGGGCAACCCUGGUGGCGAGUGGCGAACGGGUGAGUAAUACAUCGGAACGUGUCCUGUAGUGGGGGAUAGCCCGGCGAAAGCCGGAUUAAUACCGCAUACGCUCUACGGAGGAAAGGGGGGGAUCUUAGGACCUCCCGCUACAGGGGCGGCCGAUGGCAGAUUAGCUAGUUGGUGGGGUAAAGGCCUACCAAGGCGACGAUCUGUAGCUGGUCUGAGAGGACGACCAGCCACACUGGGACUGAGACACGGCCCAGACUCCUACGGGAGGCAGCAGUGGGGAAUUUUGGACAAUGGGGGCAACCCUGAUCCAGCAAUGCCGCGUGUGUGAAGAAGGCCUUCGGGUUGUAAAGCACUUUUGUCCGGAAAGAAAACGCCGUGGUUAAUACCCGGGCGGAUGACGGACCGAA
rnacentral:rRNA from 1 species